rfam:HIV-1 isolate V91X16/319 from TSA gag protein (gag) gene, partial sequence.
UGACUAGCGGAGGUUAGAAGAAG